rfam:Brassica oleracea var. oleracea cultivar TO1000 chromosome C1, whole genome shotgun sequence
GGAAUAUAAGAAUCCGUCUCUUAACUUUUAACUAAAAAGCUAAGAACCGGUUCUUAAAUAAGAGUUUUAAGAACCGGUUCUUAAAUAAGAGUUUUAAGAACCGGUUCUUAACUUUUUUAGUUAAAAGUUAAGAGACGAGUUUUUAUAUUCC